CUCCAAGGAGAAAGAAUUCCUCAUCGCUGUCAUCUGCUCUUUGCCCAGGGGAAGCUAAAAAAAAAAAAAAUAGAAUUGUGCAGAGAACAAAGACCAUGUUCAAGGAGUGACUUAGGAAAAAAACCUUCUGACCUAAAAUCACAGGUCCAUCAAGUUUAACGUGAGGGAACCCUUAAUAAUCUUUUGCCAGCUCCCUAUCACCCACACCACAGGACAGAUGGAGAAACCAAGGCCCACAGAACACAAGAGACUUCCCCAAAUGACUCAGCAUGAUGAGCCCUGAAUGAUAGCUACAUUUCUGGCUUGCUAUUUCCUUCUGAAGACUUCUUUAGUGGAAGAGAUUUGGGGUGGAUUCCUGACCCUGCACUAACCAACUGUGUGACUUUGGUAUGGUGGUGCACGCCUGUAAUCCCAGCACUCGGGAGGCUGAAGCAGGAGGAUCUCUUCAAGUCUGGGGCCAGCCUGGGCUACAUAAUGAGUUCAAGGCCAGCCUGAACUACAUGUGCUUCCUGGUCUCCAUGAGGUGAGCAGCUUUCUUCCACCAGACCCUUCUCCCAUGCUGUUUCUUCCCUGGAGUCAGCCAACCAUGGACUGAAAACAUGAAUCAAUAAAUAACUGAAAAUAAACCUUUCCUCCUUCAAGUUCCAGGUGUUGGGUACUUUGCGUCAGAGACUAGAAAGUGACUAAGACCUCUCCAUCAUUUUCUGGCUGCCAGCUGCCUUCAGUGCUAUGAGACUGGGGCACUGGCUGCUUUCAGCACCAGUGACCUUUGAUGUUACCAGGUCUUAUGACCCAAGACAGCGGUCACAAAUCCUGUCUAGGGUCAGGGAUUUAGUUCAGUGGUGCUGCCAUCUGCCUCACAAGUGCAAGCUCCUGAGUUCAAUCCCCGGUACAAAAAAAGAAAUAUGC
rnacentral:lncRNA from 1 species